UGGGGAAUUUUGGACAAUGGGCGCAAGCCUGAUCCAGCCAUGCCGCGUGCAGGAUGAAGGCCUUCGGGUUGUAAACUGCUUUUGUACGGAACGAAAAGACUCUGGUUAAUACCUGGGGUCCAUGACGGUACCGUAAGAAUAAGCACCGGCUAACUACGUGCCAGCAGCCGCGGUAAUACGUAGGGUGCGAGCGUUAAUCGGAAUUACUGGGCGUAAAGCGUGCGCAGGCGGUUAUAUAAGACAGAUGUGAAAUCCCCGGGCUCAACCUGGGACCUGCAUUUGUGACUGUAUAGCUAGAGUACGGUAGAGGGGGAUGGAAUUCCGCGUGUAGCAGUGAAAUGCGUAGAUAUGCGGAGGAACACCGAUGGCGAAGGCGGUUUUCUAGCUUAUUCCUGACGCUGAGGCGCGAAAGCAAGGGGAUCAAACA
rnacentral:rRNA from 1 species